rfam:Aedes albopictus isolate Foshan contig52450, whole genome shotgun sequence.
UGUUCUAUGACUUAGUUGGUUGAAGCGCCGGACUAGCGAUACGGAAUCGUGGGUUCAAAUCCCACAAAAAAAA